rnacentral:rRNA from 1 species
GUGGCGCACGGGUGAGUAAUACUUAGGUAACUUACCCCUUCGCUGGGGACAACUGAGGGAAACCUUAGCUAAUACCGAAUAGUCCAAGUUUGACUGGGGUCGUUCUUGGUAAAGCCGUAAGGCGCGGAGGGAGAGGCUUAAGUCCCAUUAGCUAGUUGGCGGAGUAAAAGCCCACCAGGGCUAUGAUGGGUAGCUGAUCUGAGAGGAUGAUCAGCCACACUGGAACUGGUACACGGUCCAGACUCCUACGGGAGGCAGCAGCUGGGAAUUUUGCGCAAUGGGCGAAAGCCUGACGCAGCAACGCCGCGUGGGGGAUGAAGGCCUUCGGGUUGUAAACCCCUUUUAGUUGGGACGAAAAAAAUGACGGUACCGACAGAAAAAGCACCGGCUAACUCUGUGCCAGCAGCCGCGGUAAUACAGAGGGUGCUAGCGUUAUUCGGAAUCACUGGGCGUAAAGGGCGCGUAGGCGGUUUAGUAAGUCGGAUGUGAAAUCCCUCGACUCAAUCGAGGAAGUGCAUUGGAAACUACUAGACUAGAGUGCAGGAGGGGAGAGCGGAAUUCCUGGUGUAGAGGUGAAAUUCGUAGAUA